AUUAACUUUAACAAAAGGAUUAAUAAAUGGAAUAGUUUUGACUAUACUGAAUGUUUGGUCACCAAAAUAAAUGCCAAACAAAGUUGACAUCCAUUAAAUU